rnacentral:rRNA from 1 species
UGAGGAAUAUUGGGCAAUGCCCGAAAGGGUGACCCAGCAACGCCGCGUGGAGGAUGAAGGUCGUAAGAUUGUAAACUCCUGUUAGAGGGGAAGAAUAACUAAGUUUGGAGCUUAGUAUGACUGUACCCUCAGAGAAAGCCCCGGCUAACUACGUGCCAGCAGCCGCGGUAAUACGUAGGGGGCAAGCGUUGUCCGGAUUUACUGGGUGUAAAGGGCGCGCAGGCGGAAUGGAAAGUCAGUGGUGAAAUCCUACAGCUUAACUGUAGAACUGCCUUUGAUACUUUCAUUCUUGAGUUCGGGAGAGAGAGACGGAAUUCCAGGUGUAGUGGUGAAAUACGUAGAUAUCUGGAAGAACACCAGUGGCGAAGGCGGUCUCUUGGUCCAUUACUGACGCUAAGGCGCGAAAGCGUGGGGAGCAAACAGGAUU